ensembl:lncRNA
AUUUGAAUUGAAAAUUUGAUCCAAUUCUGGAGACUUUGCAGUAAGCAUCAACCUUCUGGUUGAGCUGUAAAUCUGGAAAUGACUUUGUAACAUUAUUUGCUUUGAUUUAUCGGGGCAAAAUGUUGUCUCACACCUAGCGAAAAAGCAAUGGAGCAGUAACACUUGACUUACUGUACUUGUCAUCCUUGCUUUCAGCGAAGAAUACCGAACAGCUUUAAAAUAAUUGUAUGCCUAAGUUAGCAUUAGGUCGAAUGGUUUGGUAACCUGGAAUCUUUUCCAGGCAACAUUACGGGUGCCGUCCUCCUUGUUAGCAAGAUGUUGCCUCUGUUACGGUCCUAGAUCAGCUGAGGUCAUGGUUGUGGGCUGAAAAUAAGGGGAAAGAGAGGCAUACUGCCACAGAGCAAUUAACACAUUAUGGCAGAGAAUGCCAAAAUACACACCUUCUGCUGUUCCUGUGACUGACUUAAUCUCCUGUUAAUAUGCAUUUUUAUACCGACAUGGUUCUGAAGGCUUGAGAACACCAACAAGAGUGUCGGUGAGAGCUGGAUUUCACCAAGAUCACUUUAACUUUACAGAGGCAAUAACGCCAGAAGCUAAGUAGGGAUCUACAUUUGUUUUUGGCUCUCACGGAGAGUCCCUAGGGGCUAUAGUAGUGUUGGUUACUCACUUCAGGUAAAAUAUAUCUAAGUAAUUAAAAAGGUGUAUCUAAUCUAUGAAAUGCAUGCACAGGCCAAGGUGGGUUUAAAUAUUGGCUGGAUGACUAAUCUCUUCUUCCUCUUUCUAUCCUUUAAGACAAGGCAGACAAGGUGGACUAGAUAAUGAACCUACUACCUUCUAUAUGAUGUCAACUUCUGUACAACUCAGAGUCCAAAAGCUAAAAGGGAUGGUAGAGAUGGUCCGGUUUAAUCUUUCCUUUGUACAGGUCUCCAAGAAUGACUGCAACUCUAUCGUUCGUGUGGGCCUUUCCAAAAGGUAAUGACCAAAUCAUUGAAGUCAGACAGCCACAACUUAGCUCUGAGAAUUAAUUUUGGCUCAUUGGGCUCCAAAUAUCUAAGCCUGUCAACAGUUGUUGUUCUCGCAAAUGUUUUAUAAGCUCAGGAGUUUGAAAAGAGAGGGAUUUUCUUGAUGCAGGCUUUCCUUCGGUUCCCUUUGGGAAACAUCACUGAGCCUCCCUGCGUUCAAGCUGAGGCUGGCAGGGCUUACAGGUUGGGAACAAAGAAAAGUCCCUCCCUGAGAUAGACAGUAAGGAACGAAGGCCUUGGGGAACUGGCCAGC